CACAACACGCACCUGUGGCACACAUCACCCCAAAUGCCCGGUCAAUAGAAUCGGGCCAUUAUACGCUCCAGAGUGUUCUCGCAUCCUAAAUGCCUUGCCAUGGGGUUUGAAUGAGCCUCCUGGAAAAUCGUUUCCUGGCAGCUUUGCGACACCAACAACUGGGUAGGGAUUUCAUUCGUGCGAGUGUUGUGACUCACUCAAUAAAGCCGAUCAUUCCGUAAUCGGAAGUGGGGCCAUCAAUAUCUAUCACCUGGUCGUAGGCUGAGCCUAGGGUGUCGUCCCAAGACUGCUAUAGUGGAAAAUCUUCCAUGGAGUCCAUAACGGGAGGCAGUUGGGCCUCCGUAGAGGUCCCCGCCGCCUCCUUCCCCCCAGAGUCAGUGUCGGUCGACCCCGCGUCACUGCAGACAUUACAUCAAUUUAUAGGUUGCGAUUGCAUCUCCACGUAUUGCCCCAGGAAUCUGUGAAACCCCGGCCAAUUUGUGCCCAAAAUUAGGGGAUGUGACAGGCGCGGACUGACCGCCGCCUUUACUCUAAGUGUUUUGCCCCUAAAUUUUAACAGCAGCGACACUACCGGAUACUUGUGAAUAUCCCCGUGCACACAUUUCACCUCCAGCCACUCUGCCUCCAGCAAUGCCCUGGCCGAACCAGAAUUUGGUGAACCAGGGUCUGCAUGCAGCCCGUGUCCACCAAAGUGUGGCGUAUACCCCUUGACACCUUACCGGGAUGCGGUACGUCCCUCCUGGACCGGGGGCGGGUGCCGGAGCCCCGGCGACGUGGAACACCUGGCCCACUUCCAUCAGUCUUAUAUUACAUUUUUAAUAAAGGUGCUGCUAAUGAGCAGACUCUAAAUCAGGAUGAAGUUCAGCAGCAAGUGUACUCCCCUCUUCUUCAUGGUUAGUUUUUCAUGUAGUUUCAAAUAUUCUGAUGCUAUUUGCAACAAGACUAUACUUAGUACAUCUGCUGCAGCUUUUCAUAUAAAUGUUAUUCAAUAAUAUUUGUUUUUAAAUUAGGUUCACAGACUUGAGCUGACUGAUUUUCUCUGACCUGCAGGUGAUCUUUGUGUCUAUGAGACAGUCAGAAGAUGUGAAAACACUGAAAAUGGUCCAGCAGAAGGUGAUUUCACCAAUGUCACAUCCGUGAUUCAGCUCAAAGUCAUUAGGAAGACAAGAAAAUCAAGUCCUGCAGCUGAUGCAGCAGUUUAUUCUGAAGUCACAUCAGGAAGCUCUCUCAGUCAGUGAGGAGAGCUGUAGCAGCAAAGCCAAGAAGAAGCUUUUUAUGAAGCCACUCUUGCUCCUCUGCUGCCCAAAUAUCAGACAUGCUCAGCUUUAUGUACAGUUACAAUAUUAAAUCAUAAUAUCAGACAUACUGCUCUCUUUUAGUAUCAAACAAAUAGAGGUGUAUUAGGUAUUAAUAUUCAUGCUCUUUAUAUUCAGUUUUUUCAUAAAGAUUUUGUAAUAAACCUUGAAUGUAUCUAACAUGUUCCAACAGCAGUGAGAACAAAGUGUGAAAUAUGUGAUCUUUAGUAUCUGACAGCACAACUUAAAGUCAGUGUUUGCAGUGUUUCACAAGCAAAUACUGAUAUGGGCAACAACAAAUACUUUAACUGUGUUUGUCCAAAGAUCUCGUACAUUAUAUAAAUAAGAAUUAUAUCAUAGGCAGUGAAUGCAUUUGAAUGUAUUUCAUGUAUAUUUUUGUGUUUCUGAUCAUUAAUAAGGUAGAAAUAAAAUCUUUUUACAUUGAAACAUUUUGUUUGAUUUUAGUUACCUGUAUGAGAUUAUCCACAAACUAAUAACACAACCACUUAAACAAUUUGUAUCAACAUUGUCAUGGAAACCUGAAAUAAACAGAUGUGAGUAUUAUCUGCAAAGCGGUCACUAACAGUACAGAGCAUGACAUCAGUCUGCAUGUAUCUGACACAGACGACUGUGAAGUAGAACAUUUACAGAGAGAAGCUCUCUGUGUGCUGUUGUCACAGGAUGCAGUUAAAGGAAAAGAUAACUUGUACAUGUGAUAAAUCUCAUAUGAAAGAUUGCACAGAGACAGAAUAUUACAGACUACUAAAGUUCUGCAUUGAACAUGGUCAGAAUGCCCUUGUCUUAUAAUGAAGGUGAACAACUACAACUACACUGCUUUCUAAAAUUUCUAAAUAAAAUGUCAUUUCACCUGAAACACACAGCAUAGUUCAAACCUAUCAAUAACAGGUACCAGGCUCCCACCUGGUGGCAUUACCUGAAUAUGACAGCCACUUACUGUUUUGUUUAAAUAUAGCCUCUCUGUGCUUCAUUCCUUUUAAAAUUCAGCUAUGACAGCUACAAACUACUGUCAGCUGCCCACUGCAAAUAUAUUAACUUGCUAUCUGCUCUAUAAU